rnacentral:tRNA from 1 species
GGUCCAUUGGAGUAGCGGCAAACUCACCACCCUCUCAAGGUCGGAGACCGCGGGUUCGAAUCCCGCAUGGACUAC